rnacentral:tRNA from 1 species
CGCGGGGUGGAGCAGCCUGGUAGCUCGUCGGGCUCAUAACCCGAAGGUCGUCGGUUCAAAUCCGGCCCCUCGUCGGGCUCAUAACCCGAAGGUCGUCGGUUCAAAUCCGGCCCCCGCAACCA